GAGGCUAUAGCUUAGUUGGUAGAGCGUCCAUUGACUGUGAUCAUGGCAUUUUCGCAUGGAGGUCGAGGGUUCGAAUCCCUCUAGCCCCG